AAUAAUAAUAAUAAUACCAAGUCCAUGAUAGAGACAAACUAAUCAAGCAUAGACAUGAGGAUUCUCCAAAAGGUAGGCUUCAACAACUUUAUAUAUUCCUAGAGCUUUGUCCUUGCCAUCCUUAAUUGCUUCUUCUUCAAUGGAAAAUUCUCCGAUAGUAAUGUAAUUGCUUGUGAUCUUACAUAUUGAGCCUCCAUCACUUGCUGCCUCAAACUUGACCUCGUAAGCAAUGGAAUCAAGCUUGUCUCCUAGUGGAUCUCCCUCAAUCAGAGUAUACUUGCA
rnacentral:misc_RNA from 1 species